UAUGGUUAAGGAACUCGGCAAAUUUCCUCCGUAACUUCGGGAUAAGGAGGACCCCAGUAGCGUGACGAGACUUGCUCUCCGAGCGUGAAGGGGUGGCACAAAAUUGAGGGAAGCGACUGUUUACCAAAAACACAGCAGCGUGCUAAGCCGUAAGGCGCUGUAUACGCUGUGACUCCUGCCCGGUGCUGGAAGGUUACGGGGAUGGGUUAGUCCUUUGGGACGAAGCUCUGAACCUAAGCCCCAGUAAACGGCGGCCGUAACUAUAACGGUCCUAAGGUAGCGAAAUUCCUUGUCGGGUAAGUUCCGACCUGCACGAAUGGAGUAACGACUUCCCUACUGUCUCAACCAUAGACCCAGCGAAAUUGAAGUACGAGUAAAGAUGCUCGUUAGCUGCAGAAGGACGGAAAGACCCCGUGGACCUUUACUAUAACUUGAUGUUGUGUUUUGUCAUAUGCUGUGUAGGAUAGGUGGGAGACAAGGAAGCAUGGACGCUAGUCUGUGUGGAGUCAUCGUUGAAAUACCACCCUGCAUAUGGUGAGGCUCUAACCUAGACCCGUUAUCCGGGUUGGGGACAGCGUCAGGCGGGUAGUUUAACUGGGGCGGUUGCCUCCUAAAGAGUAACGGAGGCGCCCAAAGGUUCCCUCAGCCUGGUUGGCAAUCAGGCGUCGAGUGCAAUGGCAAAAGGGAGCUUGACUGCGAGACCUACAAGUCGAGCAGGAGCGAAAGCUGGGCAUAGUGAUCCGGCGGUUGCGUGUGGAAGCGCCGUCGCUCAACGGAUAAAAGGUACCCCGGGGAUAACAGGCUAAUCUUGCCCAAGCGUCCAUAGCGACGGCAAGGUUUGGCACCUCGAUGUCGGCUCAUCGCAUCCUGGGGCUGAAGCAGGUCCCAAGGGUUGGGCUGUUCGCCCAUUAAAGCGGUACGCGAGCUGGGUUCAGAACGUCGUGAGACAGUUCGGUCCCUAUCCUCUGUAGCCGUAGGUGAAUUGAGGAAAGCUGUCCCUAGUACGAGAGGACCGGGACGGACGCAGCUCUCGUGUGCCAGUUGUCCUGCCAAGGGCAUGGCUGGUUAGCGACCUGCGGAAAGGAUAACCGCUGAAAGCAUCUAAGCGGGAAGCCUCUUCCAAGAUGAAUUCACCCACAGGGUUAACCUGGUAAGGCCCGUGGUAGACCACCACGUUGAUAGGCCGGAAGUGUAAGCGUGGCAACACGUUUAGCUGACCGGUACUAAUCGGCCGAGGGCUUGAAUUG
rnacentral:rRNA from 1 species